GACAGAGGGUGCAAACGUUGUUCGGAUUUACUGGGCGUAAAGCGCGUGUAGGCGGCCUUGCAAGUCGGAUGUGAAAGCCCACGGCUCAACCGUGGAAGUGCAUCCGAAACUGCAUGGCUGGAGUCUCGGAGAGGAAGGUGGAAUGCUUGGUGUAGAGGUGAAAUUCGUAGAUAUCAAGCAGAACACCUGCGGCGAAGGCGGCCUUCUGGACGAUGACUGACGCUGAGACGCGAAAGCGUGGGGAGCAAACAGG
rnacentral:rRNA from 1 species